CAAAUCCAUCUCUCAUUCUCGACUUCAUCUCCCGCUUUGUCUCCCUCUCUCAACUCAGACCCCCUCUCUUCUCUCUCUCUACCUCGUGACCCUGGAUUUCUCUUCUUCUUCCUGAAACCCAAAACAACCGAAGCUGUGAGACCCAACCUCAACGCCUCUCUCUCCCUUUGUUUCCAUCAUCUCGACCUCAACCUCUACGAUUUUCAACUAGAUCUGUCGUUUCUCUUCUCGAUCUCCUCCACCUCGCCUUAGGGUGGUUUCGAUCUGCCGUUUCUCUUCUCGAUCUCCUCCACCUUGCCUUAGAAAUGAUGGUUUGGGUAGUUCUCUCUCUCUCUCCCUCCCUCCCCCGUCCAUGGCUAGAGAAGCCUAACUCUGACUUAGGGUGUUGGAGGCCCUGAUGGUUGAACCUUAUGCUCAGUGAGAAUUUUUUUCUCUACAGUGCAAAGUUACACUUAGAUUCCCACUAAGAUCAGUUUAAUAAAUGGGUUUAGAUGUUUUUUUUCCUUGCAUAUAUUGGUUUUCUGCAUGGUAAUAAUUUGUUCUAUUGUGAAUCUGUACAUAAAUUUUCAAGGUGUCUACGAGAGCAACACGAAGAAAACCCUCAUUCAAUCUCUAUUGCAGUAGAUAUCCAUCACUGGUUGCUCUGUAAGUAUUACGGAUAUUACUGCACUAUCACUGGUUACUCUAUAAAUUUUAUAAUGCCCUAACCUAGAGAAAUUUAUAUUUAACUGAGAAACAAUAAAAAUGUAUUUAUAUAUUAGAUGCGAAUAUUGGGUCUGAAGAUAAGAAAAUUGGAACUUCCUGAUUGCUAAUCUAUUUAGGCUUAAUUUUUAUUUUUUAGCUGUAAUUUCUACUUUCUUUGUUAUGCAUAUGUCUAUUCUGUUAUCAACUUGUGUAAAUAUCUUUUAGAUGUAAGUAUUAGAUCUGAAAGUAUCAAAUACUUAAAAAACAUCUAAAAUAUAAAUAUUGGGUUGUAUAUAUUAUAUGUUUUUCUUGGUCUGUUUUUCCUAAGUAAUUUAUCUGGGUCUGUUUUGCUCAUGAUUUUAUUGUUUGUUUGGAUGAGUUAUAGAGAUAACCAGACAUCAAUAUUUUCUAAUUCUGUUAAUUAAAAAUUUUAGCAAAGAUAUGAUGCUUUAAAGUUAAAAGUUUGAAUUCUUUGUUAAUAAAAGGAAACAGAGUUUGAACUCCUAUUUGAAUAAUGAAUGUAUUUGAUUUAAAAUAAAGAAAAAGGCCAGAUACAACAGUGACUAUUGGAGCAAUUAUAGGUGCAUUAAUCUUUUUGUUUUAUUGCUUUAUUAAAUAUGUGGAAACUAUCAGAAAAUUUAUGUGCAGAUCUAUGAAAAGAGGGAAGAUGGAAAUCUUUUCCCUGAGUGGAGUUACAUAAUCACUAAUAGUGCUCUAGUGUAUUACAUAUUGUGUGUGUGUGUGUGUGUGUCCACUGUCAAAAGUUUGCUUGCUUGUAUGAAAAAUGUGAAAUUAUCUUUCUGAGCUCACUUGUAUGAAAAAUAACUAAACUAUGAGAAUGUGAUUUAUAGGCAUGUUUUUCAUAAUUGUUGAUUCUGUUCUAACACAAUAUCGUCUUUAUACACAACACUAACGAAGCCACAAACACAAUAUUAAAUAGAAAAAUAAUAACUCAAAAAGAGAAAAUUCCACAAGACAUUUGUUUUUUAGAUGAUUUUUAUAAUACACUCAAUUUAUGUUAGGUUGUAUAUAUUGUAUGUUUUGCUUGGUUUGUGACAAAAACUUCUCCAAAACAUUCACAAUUCCAUAAAAUAGGAAAAUAAUUAUAUAACAAAUGACGUUACAUAUACUUACAAAGAUUAUAAGUAGAAAUAUCCAACCAAAAUACCCGAAGACAAACGACAAAAAAAGAACUUAAGAAGUUUAAUAAAAUACCUGAAGCCAUAAAAGAUUGUACAAAACAAUUGAAAUUUUUUACUUUUGAAAUAUGUUAUAAAAUGUGUUGGUUGAAUAUAAUUGUUGGGAUUACCUGACAGAUUGAAAUAAAUAACAAUAAAUAAAAAAAUCCAGAAAAUAAUUUAUUUACAAAAACUUUCAAAAUCAAUAUCACCGUACAAUUGCAAAGAUGAAACAAAAAUGUUCAGUUCUGAAAGUCUUUUAACUGACAAGAUCUGAAAAUUAAUCACGAAAAAUAACCAUAGAAAAUAGUAAGUAUUGUAGUAACAAAAAAAAAGGGUAGAAAAUACUAUAUUUAAAAUUAUAUACACGUAGAUGAUCAAACAAAUAAAUGAGAAAAGAAGAAAUGACAAAUAAAAUUAAGAAGCAAAAUUUUUUUCUCAGAAAAAUCACCUGUAAAGAAGAUCAAUAUGCAAAAGGAAAAGAUUGGCAAUUGACUAACCCCCCAUAAUUGACUAAUCCACCAAAUCUAAUCUUUUUAGAAAAAUGAUAAAUACACAACACUUUAUACAACACUUUCUACAACAAUGUUUUAAAAGGAGGGAUAUUUUUGUAAAAUACCUUAUAAAACUAACAUCACUUUACAAAAAUAUCCUUUUAUAACAUGUGUUGUGAAAAGUGUUGUACAAAGUGUUCUGUGUUUAUCACUACUCAUCUUUUUAAUGUGCAGCGGCCUCUGUUUUCCAAACGACAUGCCAUCAACAUCAAUAUAAUUGUAUAUAAUUGUUGGUGCAUGAACCGACUGAAGAAAUAAUAGCAAUUGAUGAGAAUGAAUGGACGCGGAUCGAAUUAAUGACAAUGUCGGCAGAUGCAGGAACCGUUGAAAGAAAUAUGCAUAGUUUUUUGAAUUUUCUUAAAAACUUUUUUAUUGUUUAAUAAUGAAUAUACUAUUUACUCUUGUCAGUCAGUGUAUAAAUAUCUAUUUUUCUUUCAUUCCCGAGGAUCAGUUGCGUAGCUCGAGCAAUUGUUUUUAUAAUGACUUUUCUCUAUUCGUGCAA